rnacentral:lncRNA from 1 species
AGAAACUGAUGCUCUGAGAGGCCAAGCAGUUUGCCCAAGAUUACACAGUCAUAGCCGUGCCUGGGAGAACCUUCUCUUCAACUCUGCCGCACCACUGUCAAGCUCACCUUUCUUCUAAGGUUUUAUUUUAGAGUUAACAUCCUCCAAAAAGCCUUCCUCAGGAGUUGAAGGUGCCCCUAAUAUCACAGCCAUGGCAUCCUGUACACUGGACCUUAUUGUCUGUCUGCCUGUUGUACCUUGUAUGAGUCUAUAAGCAAAACCUAUAAGAAGCCACAUCUGGCUAUUCUAUGUACUCAAAAAAUAAUUGGCAAGUGAAAGAAUGAGGAAAAGGAGAAAAAAUUCAGAAGGCCCCUACCCCUUCCAAUGGGUCAAGUCAGGAAUUU